AUUGAACGCUGGCGGCAGGCUUAACACAUGCAAGUCGGACGGUAACAGGGAGGAAGCUUGCUUUCUUUGCUGACGAGUGGCGGACGGGUGAGUAAUGCUUGGGAAUCUGUUUUAUGGAGGGGGAUAACUACGGGAAACUGUAGCUAAUACCGCGUAAUAUCGAGAGAUUAAAGUGUGGGACCGUAAGGCCACAUGCCAUAGAGUGAGCCCAAGUGGGAUUAGGUAGUUGGUGGGGUAAAGGCCUACCAAGCCGUCGAUCUCUAGCUGGUCUGAGAGGAUGACCAGCCACACUGGGACUGAGACACGGCCCAGACUCCUACGGGAGGCAGCAGUGGGGAAUAUUGCACAAUGGGCGCAAGCCUGACGCAGCCAUGCCGCGUGAAUGAAGAAGGCCUUCGGGUUGUAAAGUUCUUUCGGUGGUGAGGAAGGUUGUAAUGUUAAUAGCAUUAUAAUUUGACGUUAGCCACAGAAGAAGCACCGGCUAACUCCGUGCCAGCAGCCGCGGUAAUACGGAGGGUGCGAGCGUUAAUCGGAAUAACUGGGCGUAAAGGGCACGCAGGCGGAUACUUAAGUGAGGUGUGAAAGCCCUGGGCUUAACCUAGGAAUUGCAUUUCAUACUGGGUAUCUAGAGUAUUUUAGGGAGGGGUAGAAUUCCACGUGUAGCGGUGAAAUGCGUAGAGAUGUGGAGGAAUACCGAAGGCGAAGGCAGCCCCUUGGGGGAAUACUGACGCUCAUGUGCGAAAGCGUGGGGGAGCAAACAGG
rnacentral:rRNA from 1 species